rnacentral:misc_RNA from 1 species
UUGGAGGGCAAGUCUGGUGCCAGCAGCCGCGGUAAUUCCAGCUCCAAUAGCGUAUAUUAAAGUUGUUGCAGUUAAAAAGCUCGUAGUUGAAUUUCGGGAUCAGCAGGUUGGUCUUGCCACUGGUAUGUACUAGCUUGCUGAUUCCUCCUUCUUGUAGAACCGUAAUGCCAUUAAUUUGGUGUUGCGGGGAAACAGGACUGUUACUUUGAAAAAAUUAGAGUGUUUAAAGCAGGCCAGCGCCUGAAUACAUUAGCAUGGAAUAAUGAAAUAGGACGUUCGAACCUAUUUUGUUGGUUUCUAGGAUUGACGUAAUGAUUAAUAGGGAUAGUUGGG